AUGGAGCACUUUUGUUUCUUGGUCAUCCUCUCACUCUCUGGCUUGGCUGUGGCCUUGCAGCUGACCACUCCGUGCAACGCUGCGCAAGCUCAGCCACCACCAGUCUACGACAUAGAUGGCCACGAGCUAACAGGUAACAACAUGUACACCAUCAUGGCAGCAGAUCGCAAUCUGAGCGACCAUUGUAUCUCCGUUGGCUCAUUUCGGAGUGAGGAAUGUCAUAAGCAUGCGACCCUGACACCGUGCAAGCAAUUUGGCGGGAUGAGAGGCGUGCAUGUGUCGAUCAAGCCGGCGGAGGCGAGCGAUGGCUCUAGCAAGGAGGCGUCAAUCCGCCUCUCGACCGAUGUCGUGAUCGAAUUUAAAGGCGUGGUCACCUGGUGCAAGCACCAUCUCCGGUGGUACGUCCAUGGAGAGAACACGAACCAGACGCAUGUGUCCGCCAGCUGCUUCAGAGGGAUGAACGGAUGCCAACCGUCGGCAGGCACAUGCAUGGAACAAAGUUUCCUAUUCCGCGUCGAGAGGCAUGGCACCGGGUACAAGCUGACAUCGUGCUUCAAUGCGCCAUGCCGCGAUCUUGUGUUGUUCGACUACGCCGGCCAAAGGUGGCUGACCGUAAAGAAAGAUGGGCGUGAGCCUCUGGUGGUCGUGUUCAAGAAGUUCCCUCUCGCCAGCUUGCCACCUGCGAGUGCUCCCCAACUAGGCUAG
rnacentral:rRNA from 1 species